UGGGGAAUAUUGCACAAUGGGCGCAAGCCUGAUGCAGCCAUGCCGCGUGUAUGAAGAAGGCCUUCGGGUUGUAAAGUACUUUCAGCGGGGAGGAAGGGAGUAAAGUUAAUACCUUUGCUCAUUGACGUUACCCGCAGAAGAAGCACCGGCUAACUCCGUGCCAGCAGCCGCGGUAAUACGGAGGGUGCAAGCGUUAAUCGGAAUUACUGGGCGUAAAGCGCACGCAGGCGGUUUGUUAAGUCAGAUGUGAAAUCCCCGGGCUCAACCUGGGAACUGCAUCUGAUACUGGCAAGCUUGAGUCUCGUAGAGGGGGGUAGAAUUCCAGGUGUAGCGAUGAAAUGCGUAGAGAUCUGGAGGAAUACCGGUGGCGAAGGCGGCCCCCUGGUCUGUAACUGACGCUGAGGCUCGAAAGCGUGGGGAGCAAACAGG
rnacentral:rRNA from 1 species